UAGUGAUUAACGCGAAGAACCUUACCUGGCCUUGACAUCCCAGGAACCCUGAAGAGAUUCAGGGGUGCCGUAAGGAACCUGGAGACAGGUGCUGCAUGGCUGUCGUCAGCUCGUGUCGUGAGAUGUUGGGUUAAGUCCCGCAACGAGCGCAACCCUUGUCCUUAGUUGCCAGCAUUCAGUUGGGCACUCUAAGGAGACCGCCGGUGACAAACCGGAGGAAGGUGGGGAUGACGUCAAGUCAUCAUGGCCUUUAUGGCCAGGGCUACACACGUGCUACAAUGGGCGGUACAAAGGGUUGCCAACCCGCGAGGGGGAGCCAAUCCCAAAAAGCCGUUCGUAGUCCGGAUCGGAGUCUGCAACUCGACUCCGUGAAGUCGGAAUCGCUAGUAAUCGCAGAUCAGCAUUGCUGCGGUGAAUACGUUCCCGGGCCUUGUCACACCGAAUCGAAUUCC
rnacentral:rRNA from 1 species